rnacentral:rRNA from 1 species
AGCAGCCGCGGUAAUUCCAGCUCCAAUAGCGUAUAUUAAAGUUGUUGCGGUUAAAAAGCUCGUAGUUGAAUUUCGGGGUUAGUAGGUUGGUCAUGCCUCUGGUAUGUACUGGUCUCACUGAUUCCUCCUUCCUGAUGAACCUUAAUGCCAUUUAUUUGGUGUUUUGGGGAAUUUGGAUUGUUACUUUGAAAAAUUAGAGUGUUUAAAGCAAGCUAACGCUUGAAUACAUUAGCAUGGAAUAAUGAAAUAGGACGUUCGAUCCUAUUUUGUUGGUUUCUAGGAUUGACGUAAUGAUUAAUAGGGAUAGUUGGGGGCAUUAGUAUUCAAUUGUCAGAGGUGAAAUUCUUGGAUUUAUUGAAGACUAACUACUGCGAAAGCAUUUGCCAAGGAUGUUUUCAUUAAUCAAGAACGAAAGUUAGGGGAUCGAAGACGAUCAGAUACCGUCGUAGUCUUAACCAUAAACUAUGCCGACUAGGGAUCGGAUGAUGUUAAUUUUUAAUGACUCAUUCGGCGCCUUACG